ensembl:lncRNA
UUUUAAUAUUGAUUUUCAGGAGUCCUCACAUAGUGAGACAGAGAGUCUGUCUAGUCUGGACAGCUUAGAGAACGGAGACACUCAGAAGACCCAUGACACUACACCAGUUUGUUGCUCCCACCAGAGCACCACCUGUACCCAGUCUUUCUACCUCCACGUGGAUCCCCCUAAGCUCCAAGACCCCAAAAGCUCUCCAUCACCAUUCAGACAGUCCAAGAACCCAUUGUUAACGUCUCACCCCUACUGUUCCAUAGCAAAGAGUUUCCUGGAGGAGUUCUUAAAUCAGGAAAGCAAACUCAGUCUCAACUCACCCUCAACAAAGGAUCAUGAGUCAACAGAGGAAAACAGGAGUCUCCGGAAUUGCACGCAAGAAAGAUUUGAUAACUCAGAAGACCAAUUGCAGACCUUCAACACCCAGUCUACUCAUGGCUGCCAAAAAGAGUUGACUCAGCAGGACUUAGCAGCUAAUUCAGAACAUAUGACUCAUGAUAAUGACAGGAACGCUCAAGGGAACCUUUUAAAAGACAAAGGAUCUGUGGUUGCCCACUGCAAAACACAAGCCUUGCCAGAUACCACACCCCUGGAAUUCUCAAGUCUGACUAAAGACUUCAAGUCAGAAUCCAAACAGCAGACAAGAACCCUGGAGGAGAAAUAUGCUAAACAUUUAUCAGAAACACAGACAGCUCCUCCAGCCAGCAGAUGCAAACACAGCGACAGCUCCUUCGAAGCCUUUUCGAGCUCCUCUGCCCAUCUUAGUUCCCCAAACAUACAACCAAUAGAAGAACUGAGUUCUUCACAGUCACAUAAACACAAACCAGAUGUAUAUGUUGCCACUGGGCUCAAGAUAGAAUCCAAACCGUUGAGCAUGGAGGAGAGUAUAGGCAUAGAUUCUUCAAAACCUAAAAAUGAAACGGAUGUCACCAAACUGACAAAAGCUGGUGUGCUGAAGCCUUCUAAAAUUAUGGAGGAACCAAAUAGAACAUCUGCAGACCCUAUGACCCAUUCUGCCCCUAACAACAAUGUCAGAUUCCUGAAAGGGAUUCUUAAAAACCAUUUAAAAUCCAAAUCAGGAAAUGUCAAAUUCACUUAUACUCCUGGCCAUUUGCUUUUCACCAAAGAAGUGGCCAUAUUAAUCCGGGACAGCGUAGAGCUGGCCAGGGCAAAACUCAAUGAGCCAGAGCAGAACAGGACCAUUAAGAAGAAACUACGCUGGUUUGAUGAGGUAGAUGGAGUUGAGGGGGUGGACCGAGUGUUUAGAGACCCCAGCAGGCGUGCUAACCUGCCUCAACAAACCCAUAAACAGCUCUUGGCAGAUCACGCAGACCAUGUGAAUUUACUCACAGGGGUAUCAAAGAACAUCUCCAAUAAGACCUCUGCUGUCCCCACUGGGCCCCAAUCCACUAGACAGGCCUGGGCAGAUGUAGGGCCCCAAGAAAGCCAUACACAGGAGCAUAUCAAGGAGCCCACCUCUCAAAGAAGAGCCCUCUGCAUUGGGGGCCCACGGACUCCCCGGAGAGCUCGCUCAGACAGAGUCGGCUCGUGUCCCGUUACCUCCCGGGCCAGGAAGGGCACUAUCAUCAGACCGCAAUCUGCCAGGGAAGCGCAACAUGUGGCCAAGACCCAGGGGAAGACUUUGGUGCCUCGACCCCCUCUAAAACCUGAAGCUGUGGAGUGUAACUUAGCUGAGUGUCCUGUGUAUAUCUCAAAGGCAUCCUGCAAUGCCGAUGGUGUUCUGAGCAGACCAGAUCUGCAGGAUUUGGCCCUUUACAAAGACACUCCAGAUAGAGAGACAAUAGUUCAUCAGCCUACCCUCAGAACAGAUGCUGUCUGUGCUCCAGUGCCACCCUACUGUACCUACACCCAUGAGACAGGCAUCUGUUCCCUCUCCCCUCCAGAUGUCCUUGCAGACAAUGCCAGGCGCAGGUGUGGAGAGAAUGGGAUAUGUUUGGACCGGACUCCAACAGAUGAGGAGAUCACACUGCUGUGGCAUGGUGUCCGAAGUG